GGAGUCAUAGUUCAAUGGCAGAGCAUGUGCUUUGCAUGCAGAAGGUCUCAUGUCCAACCCCUGGUAUCUCCA